GACGAACCGUACGAACGUUAUUCGGAAUUACUGGGCUUAAAGGGUGCGUAGGCGGCGCAGUAAGUUGGGUGUGAAAUCCCUCGGCUUAACCGAGGAAUUGCGCCCAAAACUACUGUGCUCGAGGGAGAUAGAGGUGAGCGGAACUUAGGGUGGAGCGGUGAAAUGCGUUGAUAUCGGGAGGAAUACCUAUGGCGAAAGCAGGCUACUGGACCGUCACUGACUCUGAUCUGCGAAAGCUAGGGGAGCAAACAGG
rnacentral:rRNA from 1 species